CACUGCAAAGACAACACUAAAGUUGGUUACCUAUUAACUUUAUCAUAUUUAACAGUUAAAAGAGAAAUCUUUACCACAAACAGAAUGCUUGGCCCAGUCAGAAGUUCUGAACAUUGUUACCAAACCCUCCUGUCUCACGGGAAAACCAGUGUUAAAACUAAGGUCUCUUAUUUUGCACCUUUUCAACAGGGAACUUUGUCAGAGUUCAAUUUUUUCAACACCCACCUUAUAGCCAAUCGGUUUGAAUCUUCUAUUUCUAAACUCUUUAAAUAAAGCUCUUGGAAAAAAAAACAAACAAAAAAACCUUAUUUUUUGACAUCAUAAUUACUCUCCCAGAAAUUAUUCCUAAAAGAAAUAAAUGUAGACACAUGAAGUUUUAUUUAUAGGAAGAGUUCACUAUGAUACGGUUUAUAAGUGUUUAUAUACUGUUUAUGGACCUAAAGAGGUGACUGGCUAACAGUAACAUUUAUAUAAUCAAUACCAAUGUAGCCAACAGAAAAGAUACACAUCUACCCUCUGUUAACUGAUACAGAAGACAUCCACAAUGUAGACCACCUUAAUAAGUUUUCAAAUUUUAGAGGAAAAUGACAUUUUUUACAAAAUGUUUUAAGUAUUUUCAUUUGAAGUAUAAUUGUUUUCAUUUGAAGUCUGUGUAGAUACAAAAACAUUUGUAAGACUAAAUGCCAAAUUUAAGUACUGGUUCUAAGUAACAGGAUUCUUGCAUUUUAUGAUUUGUUUUAUAAUGAGAAUGCAUUCCUUUCAUAAUCAAAAAAUAAAAAUCCAGUGAUUAACACGUUUAAAUUCUAACAUUUGGGAAGUUUUUUCCCCUCUUGAACUGAUUAUGUGAAAAUACAACGAACAUAAAUUUUUACCCUCUUGUGAGACUCUAUGUCUACAUGACGUAUUUCCAAAAGUAGAAAUGCUACACUGACAAAGGAUAAAUGCAUUUAAUGUUACAGAUACUGCCAACUUUGGAAAGCUUCACUGAGCAAGCCUGAUCAUCUUACAUAAAGACAAGAAUUUCUAUCCUGUUUAUUCACUAUCCAGAGUUCUUUUAUUUUGAGGACAUCCACCUGAAGGUUGGAGAGGUGUUCUACCUACAACCCCUUGGACAUACUCAGUAAAAUCGAGACUUAUUCUUAAUGAAGUCAAUAAAAAAGUUUAAACCAUUCCAGAUGUCUCUAGAAGGUUCAUCCCGAUUUCAACAAUGUAGUUUUAAAAAGCAAAACAAAAAUCCAUUCUUGUAUUUAUUUUAUCCAAUAUUUUAUCUAUAUAUUUGGUAUACAGCCUCUACCUUUUUACAUUGUUUUUGCUGCUGGAAAUCUGGGAUUAGGGAAGCCAAAGAUAUACACAAAAUCAAAAGUGGUUAUCUAUUUCAUACUCUGAAUACAUCAGAGUUGUUAUGAAAAGUACAGUUAAAUAGUGAAGAUAGUCUUUAUGUAUUUUCAAAGUGUACAUUUUAAUUUGCUUUAAUUAAAAAAACUUACUGUAAAAAAUUUCAGCCCACACAAAUAUGAACAGCAAUUUUCAAGUUUUUUUUUGCCCACUUUAUGGAGUCUCAGGACCCCUUUAUACUCUUAUUCCCAAACUUCCAAUGGGAAGUCAACUGAAGGUGAAGCUGGGAAAGGACACAUAUGACAGCAUACCAUUUUACAGAUUUCCACCAAAAAUGAAAAAUAAUUUCAUUUUUAAAUAUUGGCUCCUCAAUAACUAACUUGCAAAAAUUCCCAAUUUUUAACAAUCUGUUAUGAAUCAGUACAAACUGCCUCCAGCACGCUGCUGAAUGUAACUAUCAGUAUUUCUUACACUAGACAUAUUUAACUCAUGAAUUUUUUAAGUAAUUUCUAUGCUCAGUGUGAGGCUCUAACUCAUGACCAAGAUCAAGAGUCACGUGCUCUACCGACUGAGCCAGCCAGGCACCCUAACCCAGAAAAUUUUUCCAAAUAUUCAUUCAUUCAUUACUGUAAACUCACUACACAUUAACUUAAAUGACAUUUAAUGAAAAGUAAUGUGUUUCCCCACCAAGUUAGUGAGAGGCUUAGCACUGUCUCACAUUUUUGCAAUUCUCUUUAAUGACUGGCUUAAGAGAAGACAGCUGGACUCUCUCAGCUGCUUCUACAUUUUAUCUGUUGCAAUAUGCUGGGAGGAGGCUGAAGAAAACAAAGUUUCACAAAAAUAUGUAAGUGAAAAAUAUUUUCCUGUUUUUUUUCAGAUAAUUGUAAAUAUUCCUUUUUGAUUACUAUAGUAAGAAAGUGGUAGGUUUUUAAGGGUUAAUUGCAAUGUAGAAUCUGAAAUCACACACAUUUUUGCAUCCCUUACACCAAAAUCUGUUACAAGCUGCAUAAAUGUCUGAUUCAUCCCUAAUUUUCUAUUAUACACUGGUCAUUCAGAAAAUAUUGGUUCAAUGAAUGAUACAAUUGUUGUAAACCUU